rnacentral:rRNA from 1 species
UAGGGAAUCUUGCACAAUGGGCGAAAGCCUGAUGCAGCAACGCCGCGUGAGUGAUGAAGGUCUUCGGAUUGUAAAGCUCUGUCUUUUGGGACGAUAAUGACGGUACCAAAGGAGGAAGCCACGGCUAACUACGUGCCAGCAGCCGCGGUAAUACGUAGGUGGCGAGCGUUGUCCGGAUUUACUGGGCGUAAAGGGUGCGUAGGCGGAUGUUUAAGUGAGAUGUGAAAUACCCGGGCUUAACUUGGGUGCUGCAUUUCAAACUGGAUAUCUAGAGUGCAGGAGAGGAGAAUGGAAUUCCUAGUGUAGCGGUGAAAUGCGUAGAGAUUAGGAAGAACACCAGUGGCGAAGGCGAUUCUCUGGACUGUAACUGACGCUGAGGCACGAAAGCGUGGGUAGCAAACAGGAUUAGAUACCCUGGUAGUCCACGCCGUAAACGAUGAGUACUAGGUGUAGGAGGUAUCGACCCCUUCUGUGCCGCAGUAAACACAUUAAGUACUCCGCCUGGGAAGUACGAUCGCAAGAUUAAAAC